UGACAGGAAACAUUAGAAAACUUAUUUAUAUAUUCAGACAUUCUGGGUUUUUAAUGAAGGAGGAAAAGAUGUUGUUUUAAUCAUCUUUAAUGACGCAAAAACAGCCACAAACGUGUCCUUUAAUGUUAAAAUGUAAAAACUUUCACGGAUGAGACCCCUGAAUAAGUCAAGGCCGACGCUUUUUCAUAUAUAUUUGUCUUUUUUUUGUCUCGUUAGUCUUCGGUUUCAACCCUGAACCGUCUCCGUCCACUUAUGUGUGUGUGAACGUCUCGGCUUUCGAAGAACACUCGGCUUCACAUCCUCUGCUCGUUAUAAAACACUGAAACCACUUUAUUCUUCAGGGUUGAGUUGAAUAAUACAGGAAAAGCCGCCAACUGCGCCGCACAUCUGACUUCAAUCCGGAGCACGGCAGCGUCUUAUCGAAGAAGCCAGCGUCGGGUUCAAAGUGAUGUCUUCCAAGAAAAAAAAAAACACACACACACACACACACACACACCGCCAUCCGCUUCCCUCCCAAAGCAACACGAGGUUCAAAUGUAAACCACAGGCCUCGCUGCUGGAGGAGGAGGAGGAGGACGGAGUCAUGUGUCCUCCUCCUUCUCCUCCUCAUGUCCCUCGUUGUCCUCGACUAUUUUUAUCCUUUCGCUCUCUGAUCCAUUAUGUAUUCUCCAGGUGCUCUACCCAACACACACACAGAGAGAGAGAGAGAAUGAAAUUACGGCUCUCUCCGCUGGCAGUAAUUGUAUAAAAGGCUCCCGCUGGUCAACCCUGGAGGACACUGCAGAGAGGAGGAAGAGGAGGAGGAGGAGUCGACCGCGUCGCCGCGGCUCAUCGGUCUGAGGGGAAGAUGCCACACUCCUCCAGCUGCUGCGGCUCUGCAUCCUCCAAUCACAGCGCAAGGUGUCUUUUCCAUGACGACGGGUUACCGAGCAGAAUCUCCUCACCUGCUGCCUCCAGACACAGGAAAACCCCCACAGAGCUGCUGUCUGCUGCCCAGAGGACGAGGAGAUCCCCAAACAGGAACCACAGCUUGUUUAUCUGCUGCACACAGAGAGAAAAGUGUUAAUAUACUAUUAAAAACAAGACCAGCAUAUCAACCACUGAACAGUCAAACAAUCCAACCCCGUCUCAUAGAAAUGACAUUGUUCACAGGUAACUUUUUGAAUGAACGAAGCUACAUUCAUAUAUCACUGAAGUCAGAGGGAGGAUGGACGAUGCUGCUGUCGCUCUAAUGUUCAUAAACAUGUUGAGCUUCAAGUCACUGCAGACUGUUUCUCUGUAUUAAUCAGAGAUCUUUAUCUUUCUCUGAUAUUAACAAAGUGCUGCCAGAGUCUCAACACAACCAGAAAAAGAUUCAUAUCACUGUAACUUCUAUCAGCAGAUAUUUACUGCAAGAUUAUGGUGGAAAA